AAAAAAAAAUCAGAAAAAAAAAAAAAAAAGCGAACAGGCGAACAAACAAAAUCAUACAUUAAUAUGCAUAAAUAUAUAUAUAUAUGUAUACCUACGGAAUAAAAACAUAUACAAUUGUACAAACGAAUACGUAAAAACAAAACGCAUUGAAAACAUUUGAAGGUCUCGUUUAUACGGAAUUUAAAAAAAAAUCAUUAUAUCUUUACCCAACUGUUAAAAUUUUAUAAAUUUUACUUACUUGGCUAAAUAAAAAUAAAAAGUCCUUUUUUUUUUUUUUAUUUUUUUUAUUUUUUAACUUUGUUACUUUAUAAUCAUGAAACAUCCCAAUCAUUAAUUAUAUUAAUGUAGCGCCUUUUUAUUAUAUUAUGCGCUUCUCAUUAUUUCUUACCAUUUUUCACUUAUUCUACUCUUACAUCUGGUGCCCCAGCUUUUUUUUUUUUUUUUUUUUUCUUUUUAAAUGGUUGAAGAACAACAAAAAAUCAUAAGUUUGUUAUUGAACUUUGCUAAAAAAGGGUUAACAAAAAAAGAAUGGGAUGAGGAUAUGGUAAAGAUUUUUUUUUCUGAUGUAGUACUAACACUAAUUGACAAUAUAAAUAAAUAUGAAUUGUGCAUGUGUAUUAAUGAGUAUAUAGCUAACGAAAUAAAAGAAGAAGAAGAAGAGGAAGAAGAGGAAGAAGAGAAGGGAGAAAAAAAGAAAAAGAAAAAACACUCUAACAUCAGUAAUACUAAUGGUUACAAUGAAAAGCAUAAUAAAAUAAACAUCUUGAUUUUAUUUUUAAUAUGUUUGUAUAAACAAUUUGGGGAGGCCAGUUUUUUAAAUAUUAAUUAUUCUUGGAUUAACAAAUUAAUAAAAACAAAAAAUGGUUAUAACAAAAAAAAUUUGCUACAGUUUGUAACAACUGCUUUACUUUUAUUAGAGGAGGAAAAAGAGAUCUCAAAUAUGCCCGAAGUAGGGAAAAACAAGUUUAGGUUAGUCCAUUGUUUAUUAACACAUUUAAUCAAUAUGGUUUAUGAUAAAAUAAAACAAAACUGUGAUUUUUAUUUUUAUUACAAAAAAGCAAAAAGCAUAUUUAAUUUUUUAAAAGAUAAUGAUACUAAUUAUGUUGAUGUUACUAAUUUUUGUAUUAAAGUAACAGGACAAGAAACGUACAAAAGAAAAGAAAGUUUGAAUAGCACCAUGCUCGAUAAAAAAAAAGUUUCAGAACAACAAGAAGGAGUCAUUUGUAGUUCAUUGCGCUCGUACAAUGCUAUAUUAAAUAAUUUUAUAAAUUUUAAUUUUGUUAAUCUGUGUGAUUUGUUUAUUAUGGUUAUAGAAGAGUUGGGGGAAAAAAGUGAAGCGUUGACAUGUAGUGGUAUCGUUGACAAUCAAGCAACUAAAGAAAAUAUAGAAAAAAUAAUGUAUGCAUCAAUUUUCAUCCAAGACAAGAAUAUACGGAGCUAUAUUAUUAAAAAAUUUUUUUUAAUAACAAAAACACAUAUUUUUACAAAAAGAGAAUUUGAAACCUGUUGCAUGAAUAUAAUACAAAUUAUGUUUUUUUUUAUGACUAAAGG
ensembl:lncRNA